AACGAACGCUGGCGGCAUGCCUAACACAUGCAAGUCGAACGAUCCCUUCGGGGAUAGUGGCGCACGGGUGCGUAACGCGUGGGAACCUGCCCUUAGGUUCGGAAUAACUCAGAGAAAUUUGAGCUAAUACCGGAUAAUGUCUUCGGACCAAAGAUUUAUCGCCUUUGGAUGGGCCCGCGUUGGAUUAGCUAGUUGGUGGGGUAAAGGCCUACCAAGGCGACGAUCCAUAGCUGGUCUGAGAGGAUGAUCAGCCACACUGGGACUGAGACACGGCCCAGACUCCUACGGGAAGCAGCAGUGGGGAAUAUUGGACAAUGGGCGAAAGCCUGAUCCAGCAAUGCCGCGUGAGUGAUGAAGGCCUUAGGGUUGUAAAGCUCUUUUACCCGGGAUGAUAAUGACAGUACCGGGAGAAUAAGCCCCGGCUAACUCCGUG
rnacentral:rRNA from 1 species